GUGGUGAUGGUUGCACAAUGGGAAUGUGCUUAAUACCACCCAACCGUACACUUAAAAAUGGUUAAGGUGGUAAAUUUUAUAUUAUGUAUAUUUUACCAGAAUU